rnacentral:rRNA from 1 species
CAAUAGCGUAUAUUUAAGUUGCUGCAGUUAAAAAGCUCGUAGUUGGAUUUCGGGUGGGACGCAGCGGUCUCGCAUUGCGUUUGUACUGCUGCAGCCCUCCUUCUUGCCGGGGGCGGCCUCUCGGACUUCACUGUCUGGGGGUCAGAAUCGGCGAUGUUACUUUGAGUAAAUUAGAGUGUUCAAAGCAAGCUUACGCUCUGAAUAUAAUAGCAUGGGAUAACACGACAGGACUCUGGCCUAUCGUGUUGGUCUAUAGGACCAGAGUAAUGAUUAAGAGGGACAGUCGGGGGCAUUCGUAUUCCGUUGUCAGAGGUGAAAUUCUUGGAUUUACGGAAGACGAACAUCUGCGAAAGCAUUUGCCAAGGAUGUUUUCAUUGA